rnacentral:rRNA from 1 species
GGCCCGCACAAGCGGUGGAGCAUGUGGUUUAAUUCGAUGCAACGCGAAGAACCUUACCUACUCUUGACAUCCAGAGAAUUUAGCAGAGAUGCUUUAGUGCCUUCGGGAACUCUGAGACAGGUGCUGCAUGGCUGUCGUCAGCUCGUGUUGUGAAAUGUUGGGUUAAGUCCCGCAACGAGCGCAACCCUUAUCCUUUGUUGCCAGCGAUUCGGUCGGGCACUCAAAGGAGACUGCCGGUGAUAAACCGGAGGAAGGUGGGGAUGACGUCAAGUCAUCAUGGCCCUUACGAGUAGGGCUACACACGUGCUACAAUGGCGUAUACAAAGAGAAGCGACCUCGCGAGAGCAAGCGGAACUCAUAAAGUACGUCGUAGUCCGGAUUGGAGUCUGCAACUCGACUCCAUGAAGUCGGAAUCGCUAGUAAUCGUAGAUCAGAAUGCUACGGUGAAUACGUUCCCGGGCCUUGUACACACCGCCCGUCACACCAUGGGAGUGGGUUGCAAAAGAAGUAGGUAGCUUAACCUUCGGGAGGGCGCUUACCACUUUGUGAUUCAUGACUGGGGUGAAGUCGUA